AACGAACGCUGGCGGCAGGCUUAACACAUGCAAGUCGAACGCAUCCUUCGGGGUGAGUGGCAGACGGGUGAGUAACGCGUGGGAACGUGCCCUUCGGUUCGGGAUAACCCAGGGAAACUUGGGCUAAUACCGGAUACGUGCGAGAGCAGAAAGAUUUAUCGCUGAAGGAUCGGCCCGCGUCUGAUUAGCUAGUUGGUGGGGUAAUGGCCCACCAAGGCGACGAUCAGUAGCUGGUCUGAGAGGAUGAUUAGCCACAUUGGGACUAAGACACGGCCCAAACUCCUACGGGAGGCAGCAGUGGGGAAUAUUGGAGAAUGGGCGCAAGCCUGGUCCAGCCAUGCCGCGUGAGUGAUGAAGGCCUUAGGAUUGUAAAGCUCUUUCGUCCGGGACGAUAAUGACGGUACCGGAAGAAGAAGCCCCGGCUAACUUCGUGCCAGCCGCCGCCGUAA
rnacentral:rRNA from 1 species